GGAAUGCCGGAGGCAGAGGUGCUUUCGUCUGACACCGCUUGUGUGUGUUGCUGCUCGGCCAUUCUGUCCGUGAUUUUAAGAGUGUUGUGAACCGUUAAUCAGUCUGUGUGACACACACAAGGUGAAAUCAAGACUUUUGUUAAUGGCUGCUGAACUGGAAUACAUAAACAUCUUGAACAGCAUAUGAACACUCUGUGGAAAUUAUGGUAUCGGAUGGACAUCACUGUGUCUUAAUUGCUAAGUCAUGUUCAACUCUUUUGCAACCCAUGGACUGCACCCAGGAGGCUCCUCUGUCCAUGGGAUUCUUCAGGCAAGAAUACUGGAGUGGGUUGCCAUUUCUUCCUCUGGGGAUAUCCGCUGAAAAUGCCAUGAGACACUAAUCAUUUCCACGUGAGCACUUCAUCUUUUCAGUAAAUCGCAUAUCACAGUAAAAAGUGAUCUCUUGCAGUUCUUGUAUAUUUUUCUUUGUGUUUAAUGCAACACUGUAAACCUUGAAUAACACCAUGAGACCAAUAUGAAGUGCCACUAGUGAUUCUAGAAAUGCUCCCAUGAAGCAGAGAAAAGUCAUGACAUUUCAAGGAAGAGCUGAAUUGCUUGAUGUAUACUGUAGAUUGAGGUCUGCAGCUGCAGUUGCCGGCCAUUUCAAGAUAAAUUAAUCCAGCAUAAAGACCAUUGUAAACAAAAAAAAGAAAGGAAAUAUGUGAAAACAUCAUUACACCUAUGCCAGCAUGCAUGCAAAUGUACCUUUUUUGAAAUAACUUUUUAUCUUAUAUCAAAAAUGCAGCUUUUAUGUGGGUGUAGAAUUACUAUAAGAAAAGCAUACCUACUAAUAUGAUUUGAGAAAAAGCAGUCAUUAUUAUAUGAUGACUUAAAUGGAAAGUGAAGGAUCUUAAUGCCACCAAGGGUUGAUUUGAUCAUUUUAGAAAGGGGUUUGACUUAAAACAUGUCAAGAUAACAGGAGCAGCAGCUUCUGCUGACCAAAAAGCAGCAGAUAAGUUCCCAGGCACCAUUAAGAAAAUCAUUGAGGAGGAACAAUAACAGGCUAAACAGCUUUUUAAUGUAGACAAAAAGAGCCCUCUUCUCGGUGGAGGGGGGUCGGGGGGAAGUGCCACAAAGGACAUUUACCAGUAAGGAAGGGAAGCGAAUACUAGUUUUAAUUCAGGAAGGGAUAGGCUAACUCCCCUGUUAUGCACAAAUGCAGUGGGGUUUAGGAUAAGGACUGCCCUUAUCUAUAAGAUCCCUGGGUCAGGAAGAUCCUCUGGAGAAG